GCCGCUGGCGCGCUCGCGCAUGAACAGCAGUGCCUCGUCGCGCCACACGGGCAGCGAGGACAGGGACAGCAGCGCCAGGAACAGCAGCAUGAAGAACAGCGCGCCGAAGCGGUCCUGUGUGAGUGUGGGAGUGAGCGAGUGAGUGUGUGUACUUGAUUGAGGGCGAAAGGAAGAGAACAAGUAAGGCAUGUGUGUGCGUGUGUGCGCGCGUUUGUGUAUUUAAAGCAGGGCACAAGGAGUAGGCAUGAGGAGGAGAGGAUAAGGACCCGGGAAGAAGGGUGCAGGGCACAAUUAAACCGAAGCCUCGCAUCAGACACACUGCCAACCCCUCUCCCACACACCCCUCCCUGCCCCUCCCUCCCACCCCCACCCCCCCACCCCCACACACACGCCCACUCUCAGCCGCCCACGCCGCACCUGAAUGCCGCCGGUGUCGCGGCCUGUGUGCCAGUAGAUGGCGCCCACCCCCAGCGCCAUGAGCCCGGUGGCUGCGAAGUGCAGCCCCAGCAGCAGCGGG
rnacentral:lncRNA from 1 species